rnacentral:misc_RNA from 1 species
GUGAAUCAUCGAAUCUUUGAACGCAUCUUGCGCUCCUUGGUAUUCCUUGGAGCAUGCCCGUUUGAGUAUCAUGAGAAAACCUCAAAGUCGAUUCCUUAAUUGGUUUUGCUUUGGACUUGGAGGUCUUUGCAGAUUUCACGUCUGCUCCUCUUAAAUGCAUUAGCUGGAUCUCAGUAUUAUGCUUGGUUCCACUCGGCGUGAUAAGUAUCACUCGCUGAGGACACUGUAAAAGGUGGCCAGGAAAACACUGAUCGAACCGCUUCUAACAGUCUAUUAAUUUAGACAAAUGCCCCUUGUGUUUGAUCUCAAAUCGGGUAGGACUACCCGCUGAACUUAAGCAUAUCAAUAAGCGGAGGA